UACCCCGUACUUUUAAAGUACCAAGUAAUGUGCCACGAAGCAUAAAUACGAGAACUUAAUCAAGGACAUCGGAAUUAAGUUCGAGAAAUAAGAAUUUAGAUCGAAGCGGGUCUAUUAAAAUGAUCGUGAAAUAAUAAAUUAAGUGGAAUUUAUUAUUUGAUAAAUUGGAAUUUAGCGGGACUAAGAAAAGUAGAUAAAUUAAAAUAAAAUAAAUGGUAAGUCCCGAGUUAAUUUUACGAUAAAGUUCGUAAAAUAAAUUUAUGGAUCAAAGAUAAAAUUUUGUAAAAAUUGGACGAAAGGAUUUUAAUUAAACGGAAUUUGAUUAUCGGAAAAGGAAAAGGAUAUAAAUAAAUUAUUUGGACCCAGAUAAAUAAAUAAUGUGAUGAAACCCAUUAUUUAUCGAUAAAGAAUAAUCGUCAAGGUUCCGUGUAAUUAUGAAAUCAAUUUGGUUAAAUUGGAGAAAUUGAAAGCCUAAGAGUUAAGUUGGAAGAGGUGCCUAAUUUAGGCACUUGAAUAUGAUUUUUCCACAAACUUAAUAAGAAAAGGACACCUCAUACCCCACCCCUUCAAUUUCUAUUGCUAUCUAAAACUAGAAAAUGAAAACUUAAAACAAAACCCUCAUGUUGGAAGGUCACCGCCAUCACCAUCAUCUUCCUCCCUUCCUUCUUGUUCCUCAUGAACAACUCACACGGCGGCGUUAAUAUCUUCACGAAUUGAUCAUCGAUUUCAGCGAUUAAGGUCCGGUUGGAAAGCCAACACGCUAAGGAACAAGACUCGACGAGACGACUAUUAAGGGGGCGCAAAACGUAAAGAACGCAACAGGGCUUUGCUAUGGCCGAAGUCUUUGGAUAGCAAUUUUGUUAUGUUUCAGGUGUAUAGUAUCGAAUGUAACGGACUUCUAUCCUUGUUCCAGAAGUCCGCGAGUACAGAAAGAAGGAACCAAUCAGUAGUGCUGCAGUAGUCGAGUCCUAGAGUGUAAUUAUGUUUUAUCAAACGGUUUUAAAUAUCUUGUUUAUACUCUGAUAUGUAUAAAGGUUUUAGACUGCACUUUUAACCGUUUAUAUAUAUAUAUAUAUAUAUAUGAGAAACAGGGCAUUGCUUGAUAUGGGAUAUCGCUUUGUAAGACCCUGAUUUCUAAAGAUCGUUUUGUAUCGUUUAAAGAAGUUUUAUAAAAACAUUUUGUUAAUGUUUCGCGAAAAAUUUAUAGUGAUCUCUAGGCUUGCUACGGGUUUCGGAGCUACCACUCCUAUUCCCUAGCGUCGGUCGCGGCUUGAGAUUUCGGGUCGUGACAAAGGUGGUAUCAGAGCAAUGGUUAGAUUCAUAGGCCAUUGCUUAUAUGUGAUCGUCUGUACCUAGGUUUGACAUUGUCACUAGGUUAAGCUAGGAACUACUGCAGCUAUAGGACUCGAGUCAUAUCAUUGAUAAGUCCUUGUUUAUUUUCAAAACUUCUCACUCUCCUCGAUAGGAUACGAGUCCAUAUGAUCGAUUGCUUUGCGAAACACUGUUUGUUCUAUAUGGAUUAUGUAUAUGUGAUAAGAAUGCAUGUUUCAUUUAUGAUAGAGUAUGCAUACGCAAUGUGCAUACGGAGAAGGACUUGUGAGAAAUGGACUUUCACAAGCAUGUCUGGGCAAGAUCGCCGAUCAGAAAUAGCGAAUCAAAGAUCGCCGAUCAGGAAUAGUGAUAUGAGAACGGGGCGAAUCUAGUCAAGCACCCCCAAGUACGAUGCAUAUACUUUGUGCUAUCACAUUUCUUAUAGUAGCUAUGGUUUGGCCAAUAAGACAAGCCAUUAUGGCAUAGAUGUAUCGUAUCAGAUAUAGAUCGUUAUCAAAUAGACGAUGCACUAGGAAGAAUGAGAACCUAGGUGCAUAACCUAAGAUAUUCCUUUAGGAAGGGAACAAAACGUAGAGAACAUACAUUGAAAGAGUUCGACAUACUCUACAAAAUGUCAAAUAUGCACAAAUAACCUGAGCUAUGCCCUGAACAUAGCUUGAUAGUAUGUGAUAGAAAGAUAGAGAACGAGAAUAAAAUACACCAAUAAGACUGAUAAAAAGCCAUAUAAAGAAAAGUUAAAAUGUCACAGAAGUUCCGGUCUGAGUUGACUUAUGGUGUCUACAAAAGAAAUAAAGCUUUGAGAUUUCUUUUGAAAGUAUAAUUGUGCACAGACCCAGCAUGUAGUAUGCCAUAGGAAGCAUGAAAGACAUGAUUGAAAACACAUUGCAGUAUCAGCAUAUAUGUAUAAAAAUUUUGAUAUAAAACCAUAAUUUUACUCUGCAUCAUGCAUUCGCUGAUACGAGCAAUUCAAAGAAUUUUAAAUAGCAACUCUUUAGUGAUGAGAGGUGUCAUCACUCUGAUGCGCAAUUAUACUAAAGGUUUUGAAACUAUAUGAUUGAAAUUGUAUUUGAUUUGAAAAGAAAUUGUUUUGAAAGUCCCGCGGCAAAGUCAAAUUGAUUUGAAACGUAAGAAACCAGAUGGAAUUUCCUGUGACACCAAUAUAUAAACUUUAAUAAAGAGCAAUAACAAAUAUAAAAGAUUGUACAAAGAUAGUUUAAUGGUGAACAUAGUUCACACCUCAUAGGUAGAACCUAUGAAAGUAAGAAUCGUAUAAGGCAAGUAAGCCACCUCAAGAGUAAGAGGUGCAGUGAUGAUCAAAAAUAACGACAUCGGGAUAUAUGAUCGAUAUGGAUAAUAAACACGAUGGUGCGAACUCAUGGUACGCGAGUAUAUAAGCUCUAAGGGAAAACAAGGAUAUAUACCGAUAAAUCUUAGAGGAAGCAAAUAAAGUAAGAAAUCUUUAAGGCUAGUAAGCUAUAUAGGCAUCAAGGGAUGUAAGGAAAUAGGAAGGAAGGACUCAACAAAGGGGUUGAGCUAUAACACGAAGAUGUUAUCGGACAGCUCGAAACAAAAGGCAAUAAAGAAGGACACCCAUAAAAGCUUGAACUAAGAUACCUACAAAGAGCCAUUCAAGUGUAAGGGUGUAUAAGAAUUAAAAAAUAAUGGACUAAGAAUAUGAAGAGAUCGAUUAAGUUAAUCGACAUAGAUAAGACUUAAACAGCCUACGUAUAUUGUGUGACACGCGAUAAAGGUAAUCGAGGGAUGGAAUUAAAGACGUUAUAUAGAAAAUAACAAGAAGAUAAAAGGAAUCGACUUCUAUGUAGUCAUAGACACACGGUGUCAAGAAGGAUAGAGUUGAUCUAAGUAUAAGAUCAACCUUACUAGUAGAUGAGAUGUCGGUAGGAAGAUGAGAAUUAGAUAUGCUCAAGACCAAGGGUACAACCUGUCGAUGAACACAAAAGAGUAACCUCCAACUCUUACAGAUAGUAGAGGUGGGAGAUAUUAAAGAAAGAAGUACACGAUGAUCGCAAAACGUAUUAGACGAUCGCGAGGUAUUAUAAGACAAAGAUAAGAACUUCACCGGACGAUGGUAAAAGAUUACAAGUCCUGAAUUCACUAAGAUUGAAGGAUCUAGAGCUACGAUAUAUCGUGGAUAAGGACUCGAUUCAUAUCGAGUAAUGCCAGGCGGGCAUUCCACUUCAUGAGAUUCAUGAAACUAUGAAGUGCAUGAUUAUUAGUGAAGAAAAAGAAAUUCCUAACCACCAUAAGACAUGAAUAAGAGUGUUGGACGAAAGGCCGUAUAAAUCUAACUAUAAAGACAAUAGUUAGUAAAUGAAUAUUAAGGGGUAUUGCAACAGAAGAGAAAGAGGAGAAGGUAAACAUGUACGUGAUUAAAUACAAGGAGGAAAGAAAUGCCAAGAAAGACGACGUCGUAUGUCGAUAAGCUCAAAAGUUAAUAAGAAGCGGGAAUGGAACAGAAGCUCAUUAAAAAAUAAUACAACUUAAUGAAUAAGAGUUAGGACUAAAAUUAAGGUCUUGAGAAACAAGCGAAAGAGAAUCGAUAGUACUAUUAUGGAAUGAUAGUUUUUGACGAAUAUUGAGAGAAGCAAAGCACUAAAGGAUAUGAGACAAGAAAAGACUUUAGUUCGGGAUAAGGAAUAGACGUUAAGUAACAAUACAUCAUAAAAUAAGAAAUAUAUGGAAGAAUGAGCUUCGAGAUGAGGUAAAGGAUGUUGUGAACUAUACGAAUACCGGUUUCGUUCAGUGAACAAACGCUUCUGAAUAAGCAAUUUGGACAGACAAAUUAAGCUAGAUAAGCAAGAUUUUGGACAAGUUUAAGAUAACUUGAAAUAGUAAAUCACUCAAUUGGAUUGGUUAAUUAAUCAAAUAGUGCUUUAGUUAAUACUAAGAAUAGUUGAAGAAAAGUUCAAAAUUGAAAGUCAAAGUUGAUAUCAACAAGAAAAGUCCAAAAUUGGCAUUAAGAACGAUACUACCCUUAUGGUAUUAAGGAGCAAACGACGAAUAAAGAUUGACGAAUACCAACGUUAAGAAGUGAAAAGAUGUGAACCUAUCAAGGCAAGAAGUUGAUAGACGAUGAGAUUAACAUCUCAAUGAGAAUUGUAUAAGGAGCAGCUACGUGCGAACGAAGGACGUUCGUGAAGAGAUUAGUCAUCUCUUUUAUAACAGACAUUAAGCAUCACCAUACGAUUAAGUAUGAUACAGAAGGACGUAAGGACAAGACCAACUAUCUUUAAGGAUGUUAGCAAUUAUCGUAAAAUAAAUCAAACACUUGAUAAUAAAGACGGGUAACUAGAAAACCGUCAAGAAAUGACGAUGUAAGAAACUUUAAGGAACACAAUGGAUUACAAAGGCGAAGUUAUUAUAACUUUAUGAUCUGGGUAACGAUAGUAUAAAAAGUAAGACUUUAAGUCUUUAUAAGAAGCAAUAAGAAUUGCUAAGAAGUGUAAUACUUGAUGGAUAAGAGUAUUACUAUAAUUAUGAAAUUCGAGGACGAAUUUUUAUAAGGGGGGAAGAAUGUGAUACCCCGUACUUUUAAAGUACCAAGUAAUGUGCCAAGAAGCAUAAAUACGAGAACUUAAUCAAGGACAUCGGAAUUAAGUUCGAGAAAUAAGAAUUUAGAUCGAAGCGGGUCUAUUAAAAUGAUCGUGAAAUAAUAAAUUAAGUGGAAUUUAUUAUUUGAUAAAUUGGAAUUUAGCGGGACUAAGAAAAGUAGAUAAAUUAAAAUAAAAUAAAUGGUAAGUCCCGAGUUAAUUUUACGAUAAAGUUCGUAAAAUAAAUUUAUGGAUCAAAGAUAAAAUUUUGUAAAAAUUGGACGAAAGGAUUUUAAUUAAACGGAAUUUGAUUAUCGGAAAAGGAAAAGGAUAUAAAUAAAUUAUUUGGACCCAGAUAAAUAAAUAAUGUGAUGAAACCCAUUAUUUAUCGAUAAAGAAUAAUCGUCAAGGUUCCGUGUAAUUAUGAAAUCAAUUUGGUUAAAUUGGAGAAAUUGAAAGCCUAAGAGUUAAGUUGGAAGAGGUGCCUAAUUUAGGCACUUGAAUAUGAUUUUUCCACAAACUUAAUAAGAAAAGGACACCUCAUACCCCACCCCUUCAAUUUCUAUUGCUAUCUAAAACUAGAAAAUGAAAACUUAAAACAAAACCCUCAUGUUGGAAGGUCACCGCCAUCACCAUCAUCUUCCUCCCUUCCUUCUUGUUCCUCAUGAACAACUCACACGGCGGCGUUAAUAUCUUCACGAAUUGAUCAUCGAUUUCAGCGAUUAAGGUCCGGUUGGAAAGCCAACACGCUAAGGAACAAGACUCGACGAGACGACUAUUAAGGGGGCGCAAAACGUAAAGAACGCAACAGGGCUUUGCUAUGGCCGAAGUCUUUGGAUAGCAAUUUUGUUAUGUUUCAGGUGUAUGGUAUCGAAUGUAACGGACUUCUAUCCUUGUUCCAGAAGUCCGCGAGUACAGAAAGAAGGAACCAAUCAGUAGUGCUGCAGUAGUCGAGUCCUAGAGUGUAAUUAUGUUUUAUCAAACGGUUUUAAAUAUCUUGUUUAUACUCUGAUAUGUAUAAAGGUUUUAGACUGCACUUUUAACCGUUUAUAUAUAUAUAUAUAUAUAUAUAUAUAUAUAUAUAUAUAUAUAUGAGAAACAGGGCAUUGCUUGAUAUGGGAUAUCGCUUUGUAAGACCCUGAUUUCUAAAGAUCGUUUUGUAUCGUUUAAAGAAGUUUUAUAAAAACAUUUUGUUAA